CGAAAUGUCAACUUUGGAUUUUACGGUAGCUUACGAGAAAAACAUGUAAAUCAAAAUGGCAAUUGUUGGUUUUGAGAAUGAAACAGAUUUUUUUUUUCGGCGGUUGUUCACGAAAUAAUCCAUGCAAGCUACGGAUUUAUUAGAAUGUUCGAGCUUUAUUUAACAGGGAGUAAAAAAGAACAGCCGCACACACAGCAUACCCACC
rnacentral:lncRNA from 1 species